AUGAACGCUGGCGGCGUGCCUAAUACCUGCAAGUCGAGCGAACGGACGAGAAGCUUGCUUCUCUGAUGUUAGCGGCGGACGGGUGAGUAACACGUGGAUAACCUACCUAUAAGACUGGGAUAACUUCGGGAAACCGGAGCUAAUACCGGAUAAUAUUUUGAGCCGCAUGGUUCAAAAGUGAAAGACGGUCUUGCUGUCACUUAUAGAUGGAUCCGCGCUGCAUUAGCUAGUUGGUAAGGUAACGGCUUACCAAGGCAACGAUGCAUAGCCGACCUGAGAGGGUGAUCGGCCACACUGGAACUGAGACACGGUCCAGACUCCUACGGGAGGCAGCAGUAGGGAAUCUUCCGCAAUGGGCGAAAGCCUGACGGAGCAACGCCGCGUGAGUGAUGAAGGUCUUCGGAUCGUAAAACUCUGUUAUUAGGGAAGAACAUAUGUGUAAGUAACUGUGCACAUCUUGACGGUACCUAAUCAGAAAGCCACGGCUAACUACGUG
rnacentral:rRNA from 1 species